GGGUUGUGAGGUUAAGCGACUAAGCGUACACGGUGGAUGCCCUGGCAGUCAGAGGCGAUGAAGGGCGUGCUAAUCUGCGAUAAGCGCCGGUAAGGUGAUAUGAACCGUUAUAACCGGCGAUACCCGAAUGGGGAAACCCAGUGUGACUCGUCACACUAUCAUUAACUGAAUCCAUAGGUUAAUGAGGCGAACCGGGGGAACUGAAACAUCUAAGUACCCCGAGGAAAAGAAAUCAACCGAGAUUCCCCCAGUAGCGGCGAGCGAACGGGGAGGAGCCCAGAGCCUGAAUCAGCAUGUGUGUUAGUGGAAGCGUCUGGAAAGGCGCGCGAUACAGGGUGACAGCCCCGUACACAAAAGCGCAUGUGCUGUGAGCUCGAUGAGUAGGGCGGGACACGUGGUAUCCUGUCUGAAUAUGGGGGGACCAUCCUCCAAGGCUAAAUACUCCUGACUGACCGAUAGUGAACCAGUACCGUGAGGGAAAGGCGAAAAGAACCCCGGCGAGGGGAGUGAAAAAGAACCUGAAACCGUGUACGUACAAGCAGUGGGAGCACAGGUUUACCUGUGUGACUGCGUACCUUUUGUAUAAUGGGUCAGCGACUUAUAUUCUGUAGCAAGGUUAACCGAAUAGGGGAGCCGGAGGGAAACCGAGUCUUAAUUGGGCGUUAAGUUGCAGGGUAUAGACCCGAAACCCGGUGAUCUAGCCAUGGGCAGGUUGAAGGUUGGGUAACACUAACUGGAGGACCGAACCGACUAAUGUUGAAAAAUUAGCGGAUGACCUGUGGCUGGGGGUGAAAGGCCAAUCAAACCGGGAGAUAGCUGGUUCUCCCCGAAAGCUAUUUAGGUAGCGCCUCGUGAAUUCAUCUCCGGGGGUAGAGCACUGUUUCGGCUAGGGGGCCAUCCCGGCUUACCAACCCGAUGCAAACUGCGAAUACCGGAGAAUGUUAUCACGGGAGACACACGGCGGGUGCUAACGUCCGUCGUGAAGAGGGAAACAACCCAGACCGCCAGCUAAGGUCCCAAAGUCAUGGUUAAGUGGGAAACGAUGUGGGAAGGCCCAGACAGCCAGGAUGUUGGCUUAGAAGCAGCCAUCAUUUAAAGAAAGCGUAAUAGCUCACUGGUCGAGUCGGCCUGCGCGGAAGAUGUAACGGGGCUAAACCAUGCACCGAAGCUGCGGCAGCGAACGUAUCACUUAAAGCGAUUCAGCGGGUUACGAUUGACGGAGC
rnacentral:rRNA from 1 species